CAACCUUCCCAAAACUGGUGAAUCCCCCUCCGAAAGGAGGAUUAAUACACCGUAACAUAAUGAAGUGGCAUCAUUUUAUUAUUAUAGCUCCGGCGGUUUUGGAUGGGCGUGCGACUGAUUAGGUAGUUGGCGGGGUAACGGCCCACCAAGCCUGCGAUCAGUAACUGGUGUGAGAGCACGACCAGUCACACGGGCACUGAGACACGGGCCCGACUCCUACGGGAGGCAGCAGUAAGGAAUAUUGGUCAAUGGACGAAAGUCUGAACCAGCCAUGCCGCGUGAAGGAUGAAGGUCCUCUGGAUUGUAAACUUCUUUUAUCUGGGACGAAAAAAGGUCAUUCCUGACCACUUGACGGUACCAGAGGAAUAAGCACCGGCUAACUCCGUG
rnacentral:rRNA from 1 species